UAUAGGAUUGUUUUGAGUUACCAAGUGAUGAAUGGUUAUCCUGUUCGUUUGGAGAAGAUGCAUUUUAAGACCUCAACAUGAACAUUCCACCUAGAUGUCUGUCCAGGAUCACUCCUAAGUAGGUGACAUUUUCUUCUGAUUGUAUACUAAGCUGUCACUAUUGAUGGUUGAUAAAACAACAAGUUCAAAGUAAAAAGAAAAAGUGGAAAGUUUACUUAAUACAGAAAACUGAAGAAAGCCUGGAAGAAUAUAAAAGGCAAAGAAAUAUUGUUAAAAGCACUGUGGCUGCAGCUAAAGAGAAAUCAUUGUCGGAAUUCGGAACAAAAAUGGAAGAAAAUUAUAAAAGCAAUCAAAAAUUAUUUUAUAAAGUAAUAGAAACUAUGAGAAAGGGGAAAAAGAUAGAAACUGCUGCAGUAAAAAACGCUCUAGGGCACAUUUUAACAGGAGUGAAAAUAAUGCAAAGAUGGAAAGAAUAUUUUCAAGAACUACUAGUAGGAGAAGAGAUUAAUGAUAGACAAGAAGAAACAAACAGUAACGAAAUAAAUGCGAGAGAAAACGAAGUAAUAACCAGGGAAGAAAUGACUCAAGCUUUAACCCAUUAACAGCCAUAGGGAAACCAGACAAACCAAAAACGUCUACAGCAUUAUAUGUGAGAUUAAACAAAUAACUAAAACUUUAGAACAGCAUGUUAAAACUUCAACCAAGCUAGUAAGAGCUCUUUACUAAAAUAGAGACCCAUUAGACAGCUGUUUAGUGAGUUUACAAAAGGUUACAGCCAGACAAUACAUAAGUAUAUUAAAAUUAAAUUACAGUCGUCCCAGGAGAUAUGAAUUGGAAUUACGUACACCGACACGACUAAUGGAUCGUGGAAGUUGACAUUCAGCCCAGGUAAUAUGCUGAACUUUUGUUGUUUUUGAAUUCGUGCAAUGACACAAGUGCCCUAGGUCUCGGAGCUUACCAGUCGAUUUGACAAGGAACGGAACGUGCCCGCAGGUAUGACUAACAGACGGGUGGACUUGCCCUUCUUAUAAAACGCCACCAGAUGACGGAUGUCUUGGAGUUUACCAAUUAAAUGGUACUGAAAUCGUGCUAGCCGUUAUGAUCCACCGAGAGCUUGACCUGCCGUUCAGCCCCGAUGAUUUCUUAAAUAUUUGUUAGUUAAGGUUAAGCUAGGGCCUAGAAUAAAGCCAGUACCAAUCAGUUUUAGAUCCUAUUUUAAUUUUCAAAAUUCAAACUAGCUUACCUCAGAUGACAUAAGGUCCUCACUCUCACACAAACAUGGGCAAAAUGCCUGUUUCAAAAUGGCUACUUUUUUUUCUCUGGAGCGACCAAAAAAACUCCUAGUUAAAUUUAAUAUUUUACUAAAAUAACCUGAAUGUCAAGGCCUACAAAAACAAUGUUUACAAAUUGGCUGCAAUCAUAUGUCCUAGUCCUAACCUGAUUAUGUUCACCCUUUUAUUUGAAAAUUUGAUCUUGAUAUAUAUUUCUAAUAGGUUAGUAAACUAUACAAUAUUUAUAUUAUAAUUAACCAAAAAAAAUUUUUUAAUGUAAUGGGGAAGCAAAGCAAAGUACAAGGUGAACGAGCGAAACCCAAAUAUUUCGCCCUGAACCGUUACACACCCCCCUUUGCUGGAU